rnacentral:rRNA from 1 species
GAUUAAGUUAUUAAGGGCGCACGGUGGAUGCCUUGGCACUAGAAGCCGAUGAAGGACGUUACUAACGACGAUAUGCUUUGGGGAGCUGUAAGUAAGCUUUGAUCCAGAGAUUUCCGAAUGGGGAAACCCAGCAUGAGUUAUGUCAUGUUAUCGAUAUGUGAAUACAUAGCAUAUCAGAAGGCACACCCGGAGAACUGAAACAUCUUAGUACCCGGAGGAAGAGAAAGAAAAUUCGAUUCCCUUAGUAGCGGCGAGCGAAACGGGAAGAGCCCAAACCAACAAGCUUGCUUGUUGGGGUUGUAGGACACUCUAUACGGAGUUACAAAGGACGACAUUAGACGAAUCAUCUGGAAAGAUGAAUCAAAGAAGGUAAUAAUCCUGUAGUCGAAAAUGUUGUCUCUCUUGAGUGGAUCCUGAGUACGACGGAGCACGUGAAAUUCCGUCGGAAUCUGGGAGGACCAUCUCCUAAGGCUAAAUACUCUCUAGUGACCGAUAGUGAACCAGUACCGUGAGGGAAAGGUGAAAAGCACCCCGGAAGGGGAGUGAAAUAGAACCUGAAACCGUGUGCUUACAAGUAGUCAGAGCCCGUUAAUGGGUGAUGGCGUGCCUUUUGUAGAAUGAACCGGCGAGUUACGAUUUGAUGCAAGGUUAAGCAGUAAAUGUGGAGCCGUAGCGAAAGCGAGUCUGAAUAGGGCGUUUAGUAUUUGGUCGUAGACCCGAAACCAGGUGAUCUACCCUUGGUCAGGUUGAAGUUCAGGUAACACUGAAUGGAGGACCGAACCGACUUACGUUGAAAAGUGAGCGGAUGAACUGAGGGUAGCGGAGAAAUUCCAAUCGAACCUGGAGAUAGCUGGUUCUCUCCGAAAUAGCUUUAGGGCUAGCCUCAAGUGAUGAUUAUUGGAGGUAGAGCACUGUUUGGACGAGGGGCCCCUCUCGGGUUACCGAAUUCAGACAAACUCCGAAUGCCAAUUAAUUUAACUUGGGAGUCAGAACAUGGGUGAUAAGGUCCGUGUUCGAAAGGGAAACAGCCCAGACCACCAGCUAAGGUCCCAAAAUAUAUGUUAAGUGGAAAAGGAUGUGGCGUUGCCCAGACAACUAGGAUGUUGGCUUAGAAGCAGCCAUCAUUUAAAGAGUGCGUAAUAGCUCACUAGUCGAGUGACACUGCGCCGAAAAUGUACCGGGGCUAAACAUAUUACCGAAGCUGUGGAUUGUCCUUUGGACAAUGGUAGGAGAGCGUUCUAAGGGCGUUGAAGCAUGAUCGUAAGGACAUGUGGAGCGCUUAGAAGUGAGAAUGCCGGUGUGAGUAGCGAAAGACGGGUGAGAAUCCCGUCCACCGAUUGACUAAGGUUUCCAGAGGAAGGCUCGUCCGCUCUGGGUUAGUCGGGUCCUAAGCUGAGGCCGACAGGCGUAGGCGAUGGAUAACAGGUUGAUAUUCCUGUACCACCUAU